GCUCCUCACGCACCCUUUCAUUGCCGAGCUCCGGGGUGAAAGGGGGGUGCAGAGGAAUAUCGCCCAACACCUGCACAGAGGAACGAGGCACUGAAACGAAAACAACGAGGCAGCCAUCGGGGAGGGUCGGGGCCAUAAAUAGGGGGCCUAAUUACCAUCCUUGGCCGCCCACAAACAUCUUUAACAUCGUGGUCC